UGACCCUUUGGUGGAAGAAUUGGAAUCGUAUGUUGAGAGGGAGGAAGAAGCUAGCUCUACAAAUACUAAAUCUGAGUUAGAUCAUUAUUUUGGUGAGAAAGUCUUAAAGAAGGCACCGCCUGAUUUUGAUAUUUUAAAUUGGUGGAAGGAAAAUGGAGGACUUUACCCAACACUUCAAACAAUUGCAAGAGAUGUGUUAGCUAUUCCAAUCUCUUCAGUAGCUUCAGAAUCGGCAUUCAGCACUAGUGGUCGAAUAUUGAGCCCUCAUCGAAGUCGACUUCAUUGGACUACUGUAGAGGCUUUGAUGUGUGCUAGGAGUUGGCUAUGGUCUAAUGAGAGUGGUGGUAAAAUUUUAAAAUUUUAAUUCAAUAUCAUUUAAUUUCAAAUUAUGUUUAUAUAUUGUCAACUAAUCAUUCUUUGGUACUCUAUGUGGGAUAUUUGUAGGGAAUUUGAAUUCUAGUGUUGCACAAGAAUAUGCUACGGUAUUGAAUGAAAUGGAGUCCGAUGACGAAGCUGAAAUAAUAGAUGGUUUGAGUUACCGUUUUGAUGAUUAAUAGCUACUGCAUCUAUGCUUUAAUGCAUAACACGGUUGAUGUUGAAGAUUGUGGACUUUAGAUAAUUGGAUUGA